rnacentral:rRNA from 1 species
UGCAGUCGAGCGGACAGAAGGGAGCUUGCUCCCGGAUGUUAGCGGCGGACGGGUGAGUAACACGUGGGUAACCUGCCUGUAAGACUGGGAUAACUCCGGGAAACCGGAGCUAAUACCGGAUAGUUCCUUGAACCGCAUGGUUCAAGGAUGAAAGACGGUUUCGGCUGUCACUUACAGAUGGACCCGCGGCGCAUUAGCUAGUUGGUGGGGUAAUGGCUCACCAAGGCGACGAUGCGUAGCCGACCUGAGAGGGUGAUCGGCCACACUGGGACUGAGACACGGCCCAGACUCCUACGGGAGGCAGCAGUAGGGAAUCUUCCGCAAUGGACGAAAGUCUGACGGAGCAACGCCGCGUGAGUGAUGAAGGUUUUCGGAUCGUAAAGCUCUGU